GCGGGCGUGGUGGAAUUGGUAGACACGCCGGCUUUAGGUGCCGGUGCCGCAAGGUGUGGGGGUUCGAGUCCCUCCGCCCGCA
rnacentral:tRNA from 2 species